AUUGAACGCUGGCGGCAUGCUUUACACAUGCAAGUCGAACGGUAACAGGUCUUCGGAUGCUGACGAGUGGCGAACGGGUGAGUAAUACAUCGGAACGUGCCUAGUAGUGGGGGAUAACUACUCGAAAGAGUAGCUAAUACCGCAUGAGAUCUACGGAUGAAAGCAGGGGACCUUCGGGCCUUGUGCUACUAGAGCGGCUGAUGGCAGAUUAGGUAGUUGGUGGGGUAAAGGCUUACCAAGCCUGCGAUCUGUAGCUGGUCUGAGAGGACGACCAGCCACACUGGGACUGAGACACGGCCCAGACUCCUACGGGAGGCAGCAGUGGGGAAUUUUGGACAAUGGGCGAAAGCCUGAUCCAGCAAUGCCGCGUGCAGGAUGAAGGCCCUCGGGUUGUAAACUGCUUUUGUACGGAACGAAAAGCCUGGGGCUAAUAUCCCCGGGUCAUGACGGUACCGUAAGAAUAAGCACCGGCUAACUACGU
rnacentral:rRNA from 1 species